CAGACCCGAGUAUAAAGCGCAAAACUGUGGAAUCCCCUGCAGGAGAUUGCAGUAGAAAACACGCGUGAGCCCAGGUUGGGCACACUUCAGACCCAGCACCCAAAUCUUAAUCCAGGAAAGAAUCGAUGCACUGGGCUCCAUUAAAAUCAAAGGCUUUUGCUUUGCGAGCCCGCUGUCCCAAGGGAGAAGGAAAGUCGUGGACCAGGAGAACAUGGGUGAGAGGAGACACAGCCGGUAAGACAACAUGAGAUGCCACGAAUCGCCUGUGAAGAGACGGCACCAAAUGUCUAUGUGAACGCAGGGCAUCAGGUACACACAGAUGUGGAUGACAGCCACGUGGUUCUUAGGAGACCAGCUGGACCCCUCCCAUGACUCAGGCUCCUCUGCGUUUACCUGCAAAAGAGCUGGAAACAUCUCCGCACAAGCAAGCUGUGCCCACCACGGUGGCCUAAGCUACUGAAACGAGCAGGCUGAGUCGCACCCCGACAGUGGGUUGUUAGCCACUGAUGAAAGGAGUGAGCACCCGGGCCCUGAGUAGGCGCGUCAGUGAGUGAAAGAAGCUGAUUAGAGGAGACCCCAGACCCCCGGAUUCCAGCUCUGUGACAUUAUGAGAGAAGCAAGGCUGUAGAAAUGGCUUAAGUCGUUUCCAGGGCUUACGGGGUGGGUGGAAUUCAUGGGACGCAGAAGGUGGCUUUUGUGGUAAAGCUAUUCCGAAUGACACCGUAACGGUAGACACGUGCCAAGGGCAUCAUCUAAACCUAUAAAAGUGCAUGCCAAGGAGUUCAUGGGCGUCAACUAUGGACCUUCGACAGCCGGUGAUGGUGUGUGUAGACUCAUCAGCUUCAGCUGAGAGACGGAGAACCUAAGAGACACGAAACUUGAGAUGUUUAUGGUGCCGUGGGACCUGAGGUGACCAAUACUUCGCUUAACAGAAAACCGAGACUAUGAAAACACCUGUGUGGUACAAGUAUCCCUGAUGAAACUAUAUGAUACCUAAGGUCAUUGUGCCCCUUCGUUUCCCACAAGAUUCAUGAGCUGAAGCCUGUUUAGAGAUGUGGUCAUUGCAGAGAUCAUCAAGUAAAAAUUCAACUGGAAGUGUGACAUUUCACCAGGCUGGAAACUAAAGCUGUCACAGAGGGAAGGAAGGUUGUGGCUCCAAUUCAAGAUAUACCAGAGGCAGGGCUUACUUGGCUCUUGAGUGGGAGAGAGGGGACGUAGUGGCUGUUGGCAUGUGGUCAGGGCAGAGAAAGUGGGACCGUGACAGGAGCGAACCUGCACGUCCGUGCCUAGUGGAGCACCACCCACAGUAACCAAGUACAGCCUUGCUGCUCGUCAACCGAUGCAUGGGUGUGUGCACGAUGACAUUUACACGACGGGCUUUGGUUGAGCCAUCAAGAAUGAAACGACGCUAUCUGAAGGAGAACGGAUGGACCUGAAUGUUGUGGGAUAUUACCUUCACUGUGUGAGGAUGGCUGCGUUGGUUUAUGCUUGUGGGACGUUUACUUUAGCCAGGCAAAGAUGUGUUAAACGCUUGUUUAAGCCAGAUUUGCUUAGACUGCGCUUGUUUAACAACUUACAGAUGGGUUGCUUUGCCUGCCUAGGGCACCUGAUUGGUCUGAUAAAAAGCUGCCAACAGCUAGGCAGUAGAGGGGUUAGAUAGGCAGGGCUGGCAGGCAGAGAGAAUAAGUAGGGGGGAAUCAUCUAGACUAGAAAGAGAAUGAGAGCAAGGUAGAAAGAGAGAAGGAUGCCUAGGGCUAGGCAGCCACUAGACAGACAGACAGACAGACAGACAGACAGACAGACAGACAGA